rnacentral:rRNA from 1 species
GACGAACGCUGGCGGCGUGCUUAACACAUGCAAGUCGAACGGAAAGGCCCUGCUUUUGUGGGGUGCUCGAGUGGCGAACGGGUGAGUAACACGUGAGUAACCUGCCCUUGACUUUGGGAUAACUUCAGGAAACUGGGGCUAAUACCGGAUAGGAGCUCCUGCUGCAUGGUGGGGGUUGGAAAGUUUCGGCGGUUGGGGAUGGACUCGCGGCUUAUCAGCUUGUUGGUGGGGUAGUGGCUUACCAAGGCUUUGACGGGUAGCCGGCCUGAGAGGGUGACCGGCCACAUUGGGACAGAGAUACGGCCCAGACUCCGACGGGAGGCAGCAGUGGGGAAGAUUGCACAAUGGGCGGAAGCCUGAUGCAGCAACGCCGCGUGCGGGAUGACGGCCUUCGGGUUGUAAACCGCUUUCGCCUGUGACGAAGCGUGAGUGACGGUAAUGGGUAAAGAAGAACCGGCUAAAUACGUG